UGUUGGUAGGAAAAAAAGUUAUUUAAAAAAAUGAGAAAAGCACUAGUGAAAAAGGGAAAGUAAAUUCUAUAAAUAGUGUUUAAUAUUGAAUGUAUCCUUCUCACUAUCCAACACACUUCCUUCUCAUCCUAUAGCCCUCGUCUCCAUCCGCACCUCCAACCCUACUUUUUUAAAUAUUUGUCUAGAUUAUAUAUAAAUAUCUUUAAGAUAAUAAUUUUUAUUUACUAAUAGAACUAAAGAAAUAGAUAACAUUCAUUUAAAACAUUUUCCUUAGAAUCAAACACACCCUAUAUGGAUUUACAGACGGUAGUAAAUAAUCCAAGUUCCAUCUUUACUUUUAACUCCAUCUGAUUUUCUACAAAAACUCAUUUCUUUUUGAAAAUUCAUGAGCACAUGGAUGUCACCAGAAAUCAAAGCCCCGUUUACAUCAAAUUGCUUUUCUUGAAGGAGUAGAAUUUAUCCUUUUGCUUCAACUACUACAUGAUUUCCACAAGUAGUGAGAAGCUUUUACAAGUUAAAUAACAAGGGUAUUUAAGUAUGUUUGUUUUGCCAAGGUCCAAUUCAAUAUCUAGUCGUCACUACUCACCUAUGUCCGUCGUUAUUCGGCCCGAUCGAUAAAAGUCAAGCUCGGAUGCUCUAGUCCACUUUUUCUGCCUAUGUAAUGUUGAUGUAAGUUAAUUGCCUCUUGGUUCCCUAUGUGGAUGACUUUUGAGCUAUGAAUGAUGAUCAUUUACAUCCUCUUCAUUAUUAUUUGUAUUCCUAUGGAGGCUAAUAAACGUUGCAUAAAUUUGGAUCCUUAA